ensembl:miRNA
CCAUUUCGCUGUAUGUGGAGAGAUGGUCGACCAUAAAACGUACGUGUGCUUUAUGACGUAUGUCACAUGGUCCACUAAUUCUCAGCAUCAGUCAGCCUGAGG